rnacentral:rRNA from 1 species
AGACCCGAAACCCGGUGAUCUAGCCAUGGGCAGGUUGAAGGUUGGGUAACACUAACUGGAGGACCGAACCGACUAAUGUUGAAAAAUUAGCGGAUGACCUGUGGCUGGGGGUGAAAGGCCAAUCAAACCGGGAGAUAGCUGGUUCUCCCCGAAAGCUAUUUAGGUAGCGCCUCGUGAAUUCAUCUCCGGGGGUAGAGCACUGUUUCGGCUAGGGGGCCAUCCCGGCUUACCAACCCGAUGCAAACUGCGAAUACCGGAGAAUGUUAUCACGGGAGACACACGGCGGGUGCUAACGUCCGUCGUGAAGAGGGAAACAACCCAGACCGCCAGCUAAGGUCCCAAAGUCAUGGUUAAGUGGGAAACGAUGUGGGAAGGCCCAGACAGCCAGGAUGUUGGCUUAGAAGCAGCCAUCAUUUAAAGAAAGCGUAAUAGCUCACUGGUCGAGUCGGCCUGCGCGGAAGAUGUAACGGGGCUAAACCAUGCACCGAAGCUGCGGCAGCGACACUCAGGUGUUGUUGGGUAGGGGAGCGUUCUGUAAGCCUGCGAAGGUGGCCUGUGAGGGUUGCUGGAGGUAUCAGAAGUGCGAAUGCUGACAUAAGUAACGAUAAAGCGGGUGAAAAGCCCGCUCGCCGGAAGACCAAGGGUUCCUGUCCAACGUUAAUCGGGGCAGGGUGAGUCGACCCCUAAGGCGAGGCCGAAAGGCGUAGUCGAUGGGAAACGGGUUAAUAUUCCCGUACUUGGUGUUACUGCGAAGGGGGGACGGAGAAGGCUAUGUUGGCCGGGCGACGGUUGUCCCGGUUUAAGCGUGUAGGUGUGUGUUCCAGGUA